rnacentral:rRNA from 1 species
UACGUAGGCAGCAAGCGUUGUUCGGAGUUACUGGGCGUAAAGGGUGCGUAGGCGGGUCCGUAAGUAUGGUGUGAAAUCUCCCGGCUUAACUGGGAGGGUGCGCUAUAAACUGCGGGACUAGAGUGUGGGAGAGGAAAGUGGAAUUCCUGGUGUAGCGGUGAAAUGCGUAGAUAUCAGGAGGAACACCGGUGGUGUAAACGGCUUUCUGGACCAUAACUGACGCUGAGGCACGAAAGCGUGGGUAGCAAACAGG